CAGCCGUAAACUAUGCGCGUUAGGUGUACUGGUGACCACGAGUCACCGGGGUGCCGAAGGGAAACCGUGAAACGUGCCGCCUGGGAAGUACGGUCGCAAGGCUGAACUUAAAGGAAUUGGCGGGGGGAGCACCACAACGGGUGGAGCCUGCGGUUUAAUUGGACUCAACGCCGGAAAUCUCACCGGAUAGGACAGACAUAUGAUAGUCGGGCUGAAGACUCUACUUGAUGAUCUGAGAGGAGGUGCAUGGCGUCAGUGACU
rnacentral:rRNA from 1 species